AGGAAGGAAGGAAGGAAGGAAGGAAGGAAGGAAGGAAGGAAGGAAGGAAGGAAGGGGAAAAAAAAAAGAAGAAAAAAAAAAGAAAAAGGAAAAGAAAACUGAGCCAAGCUUCACUUCUCCAUGUCAUUUGGUCCUUGAGUUCUUGCUUGAUACCACAGUUGUCUAUGAAGCUGAUGGACAUAAAAAUAAAUUUGGCCCAGGGAGUGAUAAACAGUACAUUAACCUCUGCUCUCUGGCUCCUUUUGCUGCUCAACGUUACACCUGCAAAUGCUGGACACAGGCUGAUGCUCUCUGGGCAUACCAGGAAGCACUGAUCAGCCAGAGCUGACACUCCAAAUUGACAUUAAAGCAGCACCACUGCCCUUUCUACAAUCCUGAAAAUCCUCUUGACAGAGUGCCCAGGCCUUUAAGAGGACCACGAGGAUCUUGUGACUCGAUGGCAAGAAGCAUAGGCCGCCUGUGCUGUUUCUCUUGAAGCAAUGCCAGGAGUCACGUUGCAUCAGCGAUGCUGAGCUGCUCGCCAUCCCAUCCGAACAAUGCACACAAGGUGCAGAUAUCUUCUGCAUAAAUGGAAAUGCAGUGACUCACUAUCUUGUGAGUGGGCACAACACUGGCUUUAUUGUCGAUGCCUGCAGAGCUCUGCAGGGGAGACCACGGAAGGAAUUCCUCACGCUUUUUUCCAACUCCAGUUUCUCCUUCUAGAAGCAGCUCUGACGGAGAUAAGUAUUCAACCAUUACUUUGAAAAGCAGCAUGUAGAAGAAGGAUAAACUUACAAGUGCCCAAGUUAUUUUGGGUGAUUUUCCCUUGGAAUUUGAAGCAUUACUAAGUGCCCGUGUGCUGGUUAACUGCUGUAACACUUCUUGGAUGAGAUGGGCACUAUUCAGCAAACCAAAUGCACAUUUUAUUUUGUUUUGGAGGAAUUGACUGUCCUGGAAUCCUCCCAGAAGUCAGUCUGCCUCUUCUGUUUCAGUUGCUCUGUGCUCCUGUCAAGCUGAAAUAGAUGUGGUUGUUUCCCACUACAAUUUAGCAUAUCCAAACUGAUUCACUUUGGAAAACAAAGCCUGUAGAAGUUCUGCUGAGAAAUAUAUGUUGUCUGUAAGUGGUGUUUGUGUGUAAAGUGAUAUGCACCCACUGUAUAAAUAAUGAAUAAUAACUGGUAAUAAAUUCUUCAUAUUGUAGCGUUAUUUCUUACUGUUUAUGAUCCCGGGUCUUUUAUGGUAAUCCCAAAACAAAGCACUGAAAAGCAUGUGAAUAAUAUUUACUACCGCUAAGUUGUUACACAAACAUGUCAAGAAAGAGAAGCUUUUUUGGCUGUAUAAUUUGAAUGCUUAAGACUAUAUACUGUUUAUAUGAUAAUAUUAUAUAUAAUUAAAGUUAUCCUUUCAUCCCAAAGGAACUCAAUGUGUUGUACAAAGUCCAUGCAUUCAAAGCCGCUGAAGUAAUGCUUCGAGGUACGUUUGUCAGCCAGCAAGUGGAAUACUCCCAAAGAGCAAUGCUGGGCAUAAUUUGACCACGUGUUCCCCUGCAAAUCCAUAUUCUUUUUAAGAAGUACCAGUCUUUGUAAGACGAGCUGUGUGGUACAACAAGACCCCGCAGUGCCCCCAGAAGGAUCUAGUUGCUCAUCAGCGACAGCCUCCUGGUGGCUCAGGAAUUUUUUACCAGGUGUACGAGGCCAAGCAGGCACAGCUGGGGGCCUCCUUGCCUGAGGGCAGGAAAAUCCUGCCUGAGCUCAAAGGAGCAAUGCAGGUGUAUGGGAGCAGGGAGAAUCACAGAAGUUGAAGUCACUGAGGUUGCAAGGGGCCUCUGGAGGCCUCUGAGUCCAACCCCCUGUGGUUGGACCUUGUCUGGUCAAACCCAAGUGUGCUCCAGCAGGGCCACAUAAAACUACUUGCCCAGGACCGUAUACAGAUGGCUUUUGAAGAUCUCCCAUGAGGUAGUAGACUCCAUAAUGUCUCUAGGCAACUUAUACCAGAGGUCCAUCACCUAUACAGUAAAGAAGUGCUUUCUUGGUGUCCAGACAGAACCUCCUGUUCUGUCUUCUCCAGGCUGAAGAGUCCCAGCUCUCCCAGCCUUCACUUAUGUGAGAGGCGAGGCUGUUCGAGUGGCAUUUAGAAAAAACACUGCUUUGCUGUGCAGGUUUGGAAUGAGGAGAACCUAAACUCAGCAAGAAUUAAAAUUGCCAGCGGCUCUUAGGAACAGUGAGAAGGGUGUCAGUAAAGACACUGACAACAAAAGGAAAAUGUAGGUUUACUGCUCAGUGAGUAAAGAGACCUAGUCCCAGAUGGACAUCCAAGAAGCAGAGAUGUCAGUGCUGCCUUUGCCGUGGUCUUCACUGGCAGGAUCUGCUCCCAGGUUCAUCCAGGUCCCUGUGUGUGACGGCAGAGUCUGGGGAAGUGAAGUACCAUGGUAGUGGACAGGCAAGAGGACAGGAAUAAAGGAUGAGCAAUGGACUUGCAGACUGCUUAAGUCAACUGGACAUACACAAGUCCAUGGACAAGACAGGAUGCAUCAAGGAGUACUGAGGGUGACAGAUGAGCUGAUGUGACUUUGAAGCCACUCACAGUCAUCCUUGCUUGAAUAAAAGAACCACUGGUUCUUUUAUUUAGUGUAACGUUAGCAAGAUUUUGACAGUCACACACAGUAUUAUUUUAACUAAUGUGGAGGGAUGCAUACUGCAUGGGUUCACUGUGAGAUACGUGGAUAACUAGCUGGACCACCAGGGUCAGAGAGAGUAGAGGGCAACUGUUCAGAGUCCCACUGGUACUGGGAUGAGUAGUCAGUAUAGGGACUGAUAGCGUUUAAUAUCUUUAUUUAUUAUGUGGACAUUGCAAUGAAUACACAAAUAACAAACUGAAUGGAGCAGUACAUAUGCUAGAGGGUAGAGCUACUGUUCGAAACGACCAAGAUGAAAAAAUGGCCUGCUAUUAACCUCAUGAAGCUCAGCAGACAAACACAAAGCCUUGCCACCUGGGAUGAAAUAAUCCCAUGCAGCUGUGAAAGCCGAACAGCAAAUGGGUAGAAAGCAGCUUUGCAGAAAAGGACCUAGUUGAGAGCAUGUUUAAAAUGAGUUAGUACAGUGCAGUGGAGGCCAGCCAGAUGAUGGGAUGUAUUCGCAAGAGAAUGGCCAACAGUUCAAGCAAAGUUCAUUCCCUGUCUGUCACUUCCGUGACUAUAUCUCAAGGAGCACAUCCAGUUUGGGGCUUCCGAGUGCAAGACAGACACAGACGUACUGGAGCAUGUGCAAUGGAGAGCCACCAAAAUGGUUUGGGGACUGGAGCACAAGACAUAGGAGAAGCUGAGAGGUGACUGUUCCUGGACAGAAUAAAAGUACAGAGACGGAGCAGUGUGAAAAUGUGCGUACCGCUGCUGAAUCCCUUUUACGAGAGCUGGCUGCGUGGAGAAAGAAAGAAAGAAAUGCAGUUGCAGGAAGCGAAUCUAAAUAAGCUCCUACUCCACCUUUUUCAAUUUACUGAAGGAAAUAUCUUUUUUCAUAUCAUUUGACUUUUUGAUUGUUAGAUCAAAUUGAGCCAGCUGGAAUGAGACGCAGUGAUCAGAAGAGAAGUCCUGAAAACCUCUGUUUAGCUGCUCUCUGGUCUCUGUGCAAUUGGUUUGCUUAAAUUUGCUGUAAUAACCUUUUAAGAGUCGUGUACCCAUUCUUCACUGAGGACCCUGCUGUGCAUUGUGAUUAUGUUAUCUGUUGCCUCCCUGAAUGUUUAACAUGAUCAAAGGGUUUUGGGCUUGUUUUUUUGGGGGGUGUUUUUUCUCUAGGUCUUCCCCCCCGCCUCUACAACCUUUUACUUUCAAAAUAUAAACAUACAUUGUUUGAUAUGUAUUACUCUCCAUGUGUCAAUCCCCCUUUUCUUCUGCUUUUUCCCCCUUUUCUCUUUAAAGUUCCUGCUUAGUAAGUAUUGAACAAGCAUGCUGAGUAGCUCUGAUAAUUAGGUAAUUUGAAUUCGGGGAUGGAUGUUAGAUGUUAAGUUGUGGGAUGGAGGCUGGUUACGUUGGAAGGCAAUGUAUUCUGUCUCUGGGUAGGAGACAGCGAAAUGCCCUUUAUAUCAGCACCGCUCGCCAGUAAACCAAGGGUAUGGCGUGGAACAUAAAUGCAAUUGCAUGGCCUUGUUCGCCCUCUUUCUCAGGGAAAGCAGCAGAUGUUGACAGUGAAUAUAGUGAAGUGCAAACGGGUAAAAUAAUGAACUGAAGUGGCAACUUAAUGGAAUUAUUAAUGGGAUUUGUGUUCAAAUAGUGAACAAGGAUUGAUUUUAUUAACAUAGGUUUUACACAUGUAAACUUAUGCGAAAGAUUAUACCAUACUACUUCUCCUUCUCUGGUGGAGUGUUUAUAGAGUACACUGUAUGCGCAGGGUUCUCUGAACUUCUUUAAAUAUUGCCCUUUCUCCCACUUAUCUCCCAGUGCUUCUCAGUGUGUAGCACUCCAUAUAAAUCUGUAUAAUAUACCCAGAGAUUUAACUGAACAGUGAGGAAACCUUGAAAUUAAAACUGAAGCAGUAGGUGUUCAGUGGGAGUUUGGUGUUUGCUUGUUCAUUCUCACCAGAAUAAAGGGUGGGAACAUGAUGGAUAGCUCAAAAUGCUAAAGUGCAGCUAUCUGUGAGCUGGGAGGCCUCUGCUAGAAGUGGCUAUAUACCUACAAGGUGGUGGUGAAGACGUCAUAAUUAUGAGCUGACAUUUAAAGAAAUGUCAGAAGCAUUCAAACAAACCCCUGCUCGGCUUCCACCCAUGUAUCUUUUUGUGUCCCCGAUCCUGCCAUCUGUUAUCCCAAGGACUUCGGUUUUGAUUACCUUUUUGUUUGCUUUUCUGAUAAAUGUUUUGUUUAUCCUCUA